AGGCCUUGACAUGCAGAGAACUUUCCAGAGAUGAAUUGGUGCCUUCGGGAACUCUGACACAGGUGCUGCAUGGUUGUCGUCAGCUCGUGUCGUGAGAUGUUGGGUUAAGUCCGUAACGAGCGCAACCCUUGUCCUUAGUUACCAGCACGUUAUGGUGGGCACUCUAAGGAGACUGCCGGUGACAAACCGGAGGAAGGUGGGGAUGACGUCAAGUCAUCAUGGCCCUUACGGCCUGGGCUACACACGUGCUACAAUGGUCGGUACAAAGGGUUGCCAAGCCGCGAGGUGGAGCUAAUCCCAUAAAACCGAUCGUAGUCCGGAUCGCAGUCUGCAACUCGACUGCGUGAAGUCGGAAUCGCUAGUAAUCGUGAAUCAGAAUGUCACGGUGAAUACGUUCCCGGGCCUU
rnacentral:rRNA from 1 species